rnacentral:lncRNA from 1 species
AAGAUAUGUUUUAUGAGGAGUACACGGUGUGCAUCCUCAAUCGAGAAGAAAGGAAGCUGCGGAGUCGCAGAAUUCCAUAUGUAAAAGUCCAAUGGAGCAACCAUUCUGUGCGAGAAGCAACUUGGGAGCUCGAGGAGACCAUGCGGAGAGAGUAUCCGCAUCUAUUUGAGUCGACGAGUUAAGGUAUACGUAAUUUUGCGGACGAAAUUAUUUUAAGGGGUGGAGAAUGUAAUAUACCGAGAAUUCGGAAAAUAAAUAUCGAACUUUAGUCAAAUUGACCAAAGUGCGAGGAUGGUACACUUCGGAAAGUCUGAAGGUGUUAAAGUGAUCAAAAGUGCAUUGUGUGGUUUUCGAGAGCUAAAUAAUCAAAAAUCUGCAAACUGCAGUUUUUGAGCUCUCGGGGACUGGCCCCUGGUGGGAGAGACCGGUCCCCGAAUGCGUGAAAACUGAGAAAGCUGAAAAAUCGGCUAAGUCCCAAAAAACCAGCUCUCGGAAACUGGUCCCUGCGGGAGAGAGACUGGUCUCCCUGGGAGAGACCGGUUGCCUUGUGCGAAAGCCCCCGCUGAGCUGCGGGAGAGCUUUCUGGGACCGGUCCCAAGUCGGGGAGACCGGUCCCGGAGCAUGAAAACUGCCCAGUUCUGGCAGUGUAAUAAAAUGAAAGCUGAGAGGUCUAAAUGCAAAGUUGCAUUAUAUGGGUUGUGUUGAGGGGUUGUGAGAGCUUAUUUCUCAUUCCCUCUCCCUCUCACACUCUUUUCUCUCUUUCUCUUUCUAGACAAGAAGAAGAAGAAGAAGACAAAGAAGAGAAGGAAGCUAAAGAAGAAGGUGAAGGAGUGAAGCGACCUCCUCUUCUUCCUCUUUGGAGCAAUAUAGGAGCAAGCUUAGAGGUAAGCUUGAACACUAAUCAUGGUAGAACCCAAGCUAGGGUUUAGAUUAAGCUAAGAAUGGUUUUCAUUGAACCUUUAGAGUGUUUGGAGCUAUCUUUUGCUUCCUUGUGAGAUCAAAACCAUGGAUUGGUGUGGAAGGUGGAGCUUGAAGGAGAGCUUCAAUCCCUCUCAUGGUAGAAUCCAAACUAGGGUUUGGAUUGAACUAAAGAUAGUUUUUAUGGAGUCUCUAGAGUAGAAUGAAGCUUCUUUUUCUUCCCAAUGAGAUCAAACCCUAGGUUUGAUAUAUGUUAUGAGCUAAGGCACCCAAAUUGGGGCUUUUGCUUACGAGAGUUCCAAAGUGAAAUUGACCCUCUAGAAACCUAAUUGGGGGUGUUUCCGACGCGUUGGUGUGCUCGGAUUAAUGUUACAAAAAGCCAAUGUAAAGAGAUGAGCAAAAUGGCCUAAUAGGGUUUCGUUUUGCCGCAGGUGACAAACUAAGGAGCUAAAAAUCCCAAGAAAAUCACCGGAGCACCUAAGUAAGCCUACAAGGUGGGUGGUGCUAUCCAAACUCGUUGGAAUUCCUUCUAUGCCAAUGUGUCAUUCAAUUGGGCAUAUGUCUAUAUUGUUGCAUGCAUUAUAGGGUAGAUGAGAUAUUAUAUAUGUGAAUGUUGCAUGAUGUGAGUACACGUGCUUUUGUAGUUGGUUGAGAACCCAUAACACCCUAUAUAUGCAUGAGAGAUAAGGUAAGAACCUAAUGAGAUAAAAGAACAAAGUGACACAAGAGCAUAGAUCGAGUGGCAUUCGAAAGUAUAUAGUCGACACUAGAGUUAGUGCGUGGCAUCAAAGAAUCAAUGUGAUGAAAAGAAUAAUGAUAAUGGUUAAAGUUAAUGCAAAGUUUGGCAUAAAGAACGAGUAAUGUUAAAGAAUAAUGAUUGCUAGAGUUAGCAAAAUAAAGUGAUGUAAAGAACACUAGAGUUAGUGUAAAGACAAUGAUUGAACUAUAUAUCCUUAGAGUUAAGGAUCGAUCAUACUUGCUAUGAGUUCCGUGCUCGAGGGCGGUUGCUCCCCCUCGGGCGAUGCGCUCCGGAGUUUUGCAUCACGGGUUGGAGUAAACCCGAGAACGGUCUUAGCGGGAGGAAGCUGAGGGCCCGCGAUGAUGGACUUAAUGUGGGCAAGGUAAUGUGACGAAACCCCCGGGUUAGCCGUGAGAUUAAAGAACAAAGAACAAAGUUUAAAGAAUAAAGAGUAAGAACCAAUAACGUGCAUACUUGCAUGAUUUACAUUGAGCAUACUUUCUGCUUUAUUGUUCAGGCAUAUUAGCAUCAUGAUUAUAGUUUGUUUACUAUUCUGCUUAUCCUUUCUAUUAUGCCUGAGUUAGUCCUAAUGGGAAAGUCGUUGAGAUUGGGGCCGAACCCACUAGGAACUUCGUUGUAGUUCUCACCCCACUAUUCCACAGAGCCGGGACCGAGAGAGCCGGUGAGCGACCGCGGUAAAGGUAUCGCAUCCUAGACAGUGGCCACCCGAGUCGGAUUUUACAUUUUGUUAGUAGUAUACCCUUUUAUCAUCUUUUGUAUUAGAUGAUUUAAGAUGUUGAUGUAUAAAGCAAAGAAAGAAAAGAAUGUAAUGUUUAUUUUGAGCAAAUGUGAUGUAAAAGAAAUGAUACAAGCAAUGUAAAGAAUCAUGAAUGUGCAAGUUGGAUGAAAUGGAUACAUGUAUGUGAUCGAAAGAGAAUCAUAGUACUUGUGUAGCUGUUUAGUUUCCUUUCUUUCACUCAUGGCAAUUGCUUACCCUCAUGUAAGCCGUUUGUGUAUGUUUCCACUAGUGCACUUUUUUUUGAAAAUGCACAUGUGAUGAGCCUUGGGCGGACAGGGGAAACUCUGUCCGUUCGGCGUCUGUUUGACGUGCUCGGGCCGGCCCAAAUUGGUAUCGGUCCCGGGGCGUGACAAUUGUGGCUCAUAUUGGUGGUAUAUAUGAUAUGGUAGAACCUAUCAUUAGCAUUGAGAUAUUGAGGCAUGAGAUAGGUUUGGCUAUACCUCCUCAAAUUGAGGAUGGGAUCAUACUCACAUGUAUUGGUUCCGGCUUGUGGGAGGUUGCUCCUCCACAAGCGGUGUACUCCGGAGUGUAGACACCACGGGUGAGACUGCCCGGCGAAGAUCCCUCGGGCGGUUGAGCCUUGUGCCUUCCCCGUUAGACGGGAUUUGUGGAUUGUGAGUUUGGGGUAAACCAGGAGCACCCCGGGUUGAUUGGGUAAAAGCCAAAGAAAAUGAGAAAUGGACAUGCAUGCAUAAUGAACAUGUAUUUGAAUAUGAAUAUCUAUCUGUGGAUUGCUUUCUUGCAGGCAUUGUAUUAGAAGUGCAUUAAUUGAUUUGUUAUCCUUCUUUAUUGAAAUACAUAUGCCUGAAAUAGACCUAGUGGGCAAAUCGGCGUGGUCGGCGGCCGAACCCACUGGGAACUUCGUUCUAGUUCUCAUUACCACUAACCCUGUAGAUCCGUGCGCGAGCGGGGAGGCGGAGGAUCAAGGCAAGGGUAUCGCGCCGUAGCUAGCGGCCCACGAGAUAUAGGCAUAUCCUACAUUUUGGUGUACUCAACUGUAGGUGUUGAACUGUAAAUGAUGUAAAGCAAGAAACAUAAAUUCUAUUUUGGAUAAUGUAAGAAUGAUGUAAAUGUAAUAGACUACUUGUGUUUGAUUCAAAUGAAAUCAAAUGACUUGUAUAUUGGAUGCUUAGAUAGUUUCGGUGCUUUCACUUGUGGUUGUUGUUUGCCUUCGUGCGAACCUUGUAUAUCUCGCAAUUCUCUUUAUUGAUUUGCUUGUAAUAUACUUGUUGUUGGAGCCUUGGGCGGACAUGGGAGGUGUUGUCCGUUCGGCGUCUGUCAUGUGCUCGAAUCCAACUAAAUUGGCGGAGUUCGGGGCGUGACACCGGUACUCAGUAUAAAAAAUCAAAUUUUUCAAUCCGGUUUUGAGGAACUGAAACCUGGUACCGAAACUCAAUAUAAAAUUAUGAGGACUGAGAAUUUUGCUGUGCAGCUAAACUCUCUAUUGAUAAUGUUUUUGUGUGUAUUUUAAUUACAUAAUCACUCGUUAAGUUUCGGAAGAAAAUGAGUUAGGAUGGAGAAGUUACGCAAUCUUUACCAAUCACUUAAAGUGAAGAGUAGCUCGGAUUUUUUGAAGAGGCGGAUGAGUAGAGAUGGCUCCUGGCAUGCAUCGGACUCCAUUCAUAGUGAUCCAAUAGCUCGUUUUCAACAGUCCGACUAUCUCGGACCUAAUGGCACUGACGAAUUUUGGGUUUGACACAUGAUUUUCGAGAAAACUGAAUUUUAUCACAAAGUGGACUUUUAUUCUUUACCGUUUUUGCUUUUUAAAACUUAUCUUCGCUCCGUUUUGCGUGUGGACCCUCGGGCGGGGACCUUUCUGCCAGAGGAGGUUUGUGUAUAGGGACCUUGGCCGCAAAUAUGCUUGUUUGAGGUGUUUUGGAGGGACUACUGUUUUAUAUAUAUGUGGUUUUAGAGAAUCGGAGAAAGGAUGGCUUUCGCCGUGAAUCGAUGACCAAUUCGAAUAAAACAAAAUUGUGGGUUCGAUGUCUCGGUCGUCCUGGAAGUGCUAGCACAAUCUGUUCGAAAAUCCGACGAACGGAUCGCCAAAUAUCGCACAUUUAUUGAGGAAGGGUCGAAUUGACAUUUUUUCCAUUUUGCGUGAAACCCUUUAUAUUUUAUGCGCAGAAUUUCAUGAAACUUUGCGGGCUGAUGCGCGAGGUUGUCAUACACAUGUGGACAGGACCUCAACUGAAAAUAUCAUUUUUUUGAGAGAGUUGUGUGUGAAGUCGGCACACUAUUAAAGUAGAUUUUAGGGUUCCUUCAUGAAAACCCCAACCCUAGCCCUAGCCACCCUUCCCCUUCCCCCUCCUGACCCUCCUAUGACGCGUCGUCACCGCCGGCCGCCGUUAAUAGAUAAGAACCCACCGUCUCUUCUCUCUCUCUCUUUCUCUCUCUUUAUUUUUGUUACUGUGAGAAGAGGUGACCUGAGCUCCUCAGAUUUGCGUCAUUGCUGGCCAGGACCACCGCUGACUUGGUCCUCCGACUCUGGGCAGCCAUCCUUGAGUCUCCUCAGCACCGGCUGUGCUUUGUAAAACCGCCGCUGCCAAGUGGAAAUUCCCAGACUCGUGCGGCCGUAGGAGUCCACCCGGUCGCCGCCGCAGCACGCCGCCGCCACCGGCCAUCACUAGAGGUCCCUGAGGGACCACCAUAGCCAGCCCCAACCCUCUUCGAGCCGUCGUUGCGACGCCCUGCCUUGCCCUACCCGCGGGGUAGUUCUUGAGCCCGAAGCCGCCGCUGCACCAUCGUACCCUCCCGACACCGGCGAUCGCCGCAGGCCUCUUUCUCUCGGUAUGGGGACCUAGCCUUGGCCGUAGCUUCGGUCGUCAUGCCGCCAUUGGCCUGCGGGGUGAUGCCCUAGCUUAGCCUUGUUGCAAGCUAAGGGGUUGAUUUGGGUGAUCUCCAUUUUUCGGCCACCGGAGGCUGCGACAAUCACUAUGAGCAUGAGCACCGCACUCCUGGGGUUCCGUGGAGUGUCGUGCUCAUGUCCAAUGGGAUGAGCGAAGGCCCUGUGAGCGCGACGAUCUCAGUCGCUCUUAGAGUCUUGUGUUGGUGAACUUGUCUUGCUGUUUCACGACUUUUCGGUUGAUGGAUUUGCUCCAAACAGUGAGUAUAGCCUUCCCCUCAUCGAGGCCCGUCAACCGGUGCCCUCGACCGACCUUGGGAACACUCGGUUUAUGAUAAUGACUCAUUUUUCCCCCCACUUUAUGUAUAAAAUGUAAUAAUGUUUAGUGGUAGGAAUUUUGCGCAAUUGUUGUGUGGGUGGUUGUUGUUCGCAGCAUGUAAUAUACCGAAAAUUUGGAAAAAAAUAAAUAAAUAUCGAACUUUAGUCAAAGUGAACAAAGUGCGAGGUUGUUACACUUCGGAAAGUUCGAAGGUGUUAAAAUGAUCAAAAGUGCAUUGUGGGAGGUUUUCGAGAGCUAAAGA